UACGUAGGGUGCGAGCGUUGCCCGGAUUUAUUGGGCGUAAAGGGCGCGUAGGCGGCCACGCACGUCCGUUGUGAAAUCGCCCGGCUCAACUGGGCGGGGUCAGCGGAUACGGUGUGGCUCGAGCAAGCUAGGGGGCAAUGGAAUUCCCGGUGUAGUGGUGGAAUGCGUAGAUAUCGGGAGGAACACCAGUGGCGAAGGCGGGUCUCUGGACAGUUCCUGACACUGAGGCACGAAGGCCAGGGGAGCAAACGGG
rnacentral:rRNA from 1 species